GACGAACGCUGGCGGCGUGCUUAACACAUGCAAGUCGAACGGAAAGGCCUCUUUCGGGGGGUACUCGAGUGGCGAACGGGUGAGUAACACGUGAGUAACCUGCCCUUGACUUUGGGAUAACUUCAGGAAACUGGGGCUAAUACCGGAUAGGAGCUCCUGCUGCAUGGUGGGGGUUGGAAAGUUUCGGCGGUUGGGGAUGGACUCGCGGCUUAUCAGCUUGUUGGUGGGGUAGUGGCUUACCAAGGCUUUGACGGGUAGCCGGCCUGAGAGGGUGACCGGCCACAUUGGGACUGAGAUACGGCACAGACUCCUACGGGAGGCAGCAGUGGGGAAUAUUGCACAAUGGGUGGAAGCCUGAUGCAGCAACGCCGUGUGCGGGAUGACGGCCUUCGGGUUGUAAACCGCUUUCGCUCAUGACGAAGCUUUGUGUGACGGUAGUGGGUAAAGAAGCACCGGCUAACUACGU
rnacentral:rRNA from 1 species